AACCCUCCCAAAGUGGAAAAAAGAAGUGUCCCACUGUCUUCGUUUACAAAACGACGACCAACCCAACAACACAAUCAUCAUUCACGACACUUCACUUGUAACAAAUUGCAGUAGUAAUGUCGGACGCAAGAGACUCCACGAUCAAGCUUUUGGGGAAGACGAUUCAGUCUACAGAUGAUCAACAACGGAAGUAUAUGAAGGGUGUUCAGGUCUUUCGAUACGAAGGUGAUGGAACUGAAUUUGGCAAGAACGCGUUGGCCAAUUUGAGAGCAAACCCGGCAGCAAUGUCAAGAUCAAUGAAGUUCCAUGAGUCAUCAUAGUUAUGAACAAUGAACAAGAUUCGAUAAUGAAUUGUUCUUUGACAUAAUGGUUAAUCAAGAUGGUUUUUGACUUUGGGUUGUUAGUUUGACAAGUUUUUGUUGUAGAUAAUUAUGUAAAAUAAACCAUUUGAACAAAAGGGGUGGGAGAGAUAGGUUCUUGGAUUUAUCAAGAUUAAGUGCUAAUGGUGAUGAGUCAGUGUAAUGUUAAAAUCAAUAAUUGUUCAUAAUCUUCUACUAAUUAUUAUCGAUUUAUAUGACUCGAGCUUGUUUUU